GAUGAACGCUAGCGGCAGGCCUAAUACAUGCAAGUCGAACGGUAACAUGAGUAGCAAUACUUGAUGACGAGUGGCGCACGGGUGCGUAACGCGUAUGCAAUCUACCUUUAACUGGUGAAUAGCCCGAAGAAAUUCGGAUUAAUACACCAUAGUAUAUUGAGGAGGCAUCUCCUUAAUAUUAAAACUCCGGUGGUUAAAGAUGAGCAUGCGUGACAUUAGCUAGUUGGUGAGGUAACGGCUCACCAAGGCAACGAUGUCUAGGGGAUCUGAGAGGAUUAGCCCCCACACUGGUACUGGGACAGGGACCAGACUCCUACGGGGGGCAGCAGUAAGGAAUAUUGGACAAUGGUCGCAAGACUGAUCCAGCCAUGCCGCGUGAAGAAUGACGGCCCUAUGGGUUGUAAACUUCUUUUGUACGGGAAAAAACCCUUCUACGUGUAGAGGGCUGAUUGUACCGUAAGAAUAAGUAUCGGCUAACUCCGUGCCAGCCGCCGCGGUAA
rnacentral:rRNA from 1 species